UUAACUCAAAUUUGUAUGGAGCUGGAAUGUUUGCCUAGGUUUGUCGCUAAGGGCGCUGUUCCAAAUGCAUACAAAUUUGACCAG
rfam:Bombyx mori DNA, contig: Bm_scaf55_contig27646, strain: p50T/Dazao, build 2, whole genome shotgun sequence.